ensembl:lncRNA
CUCGUGCCGGCAGACGGUUUGGCUCGCGCCGUCGGCGGUUAGCGCCUGAGCAAAGGAGUCUUUGUGUGAUCUGUCAGUGAAGAUUCCACAAUGCUGCGGUGGAUGUUUGUAGUUCCACUAAGAAUUCGAGAAUCCGUCUUAAUCGCAGCAGAACUGGACACAGCUUCCACGACUGAAUAAUCAACAGAACUACAGCUUCAACAAGGAAUCAUUUAAAUUGUGAAGGAAAACCAGCAAAAAGAAUAUACAUCACUGCAAAGCGCUUCGGGAUGUCCUGACUCGGAACUGUUCCAAAGGAGGCUGCGGAGAACCAGAGGCACGGUGAGUCCCCUGCACACCCUGGCCUGCACCGGCUGCAAUUCCAACUCCCUGGGGCUGGGCGGUCGUGUUAAGGCACUCACUCCAAAAGAACCUUAUGUCUGUCCUGAGACUGCUGACAUGUUUCAAUGCGUUUCAGCCAGUAAUUUGGGAAAAAUUACCGUGCUUAGGAUAAUACUGACAGGAUGGAGAACAAUGCUUCAAACAAGAAAAAAAUAAAGUACAUUAUAUACAUGAUUCCUUUUUUUCUUUUAACUUAGAAGCACCCCUAAUACAUCUUAAUAACCGUAUUAAAGACUACUUAAAUACUGAAAGAUUUUAAAUAAUGUAGAUUUUUUCAGUAAACUGGGAGUAGCUGUGUAACUGCCAGCAUAUUGGUCCCAUUUUAAACAAUAUAAUUUUUAUUUAAAUCUUGUAUAUAUAAUAACAUGAUCGAAAACACAUAUGCCACUCCACAUAAAUAAGUAUAGUUCUUCUGACCUGUUUUAAAAACUACAUCUGUUCAAAUAAUCAGGUUAUAAGACGGUAUUUUUUCCUUUGUGAAGUUUCCUUUAAAAUCUUUCACUCCCAAUUUCUCCUCUUAAAUAGUUCUGUAUUUCCAGAGUACAUAAUAGGGCAUUAGUAAAAAGAGUUAAUCAAAAACCUGAAAGCUACAGUAAGUAAAAUGAAGUAAUGUUAGGAAGGAUUAUGGAAUGUAUACUCUGCAGCAUCGGGAGAUCACUUCUUACGGGGCCGAAGUGGAAAAUUACUCUAGAAGAAAUUCUUGAUGUUCAUGUUUGAAUAAACCAUGGAUUGUGCUACUCGUCGUUCAAAAGUGCAGGUCAGUUCAUGAAAAGUGGUGUUUCUGAGGCUGUUGCUCCAGGACACUGACCAAAAUUACGCUGGCAAUUAAACGGAUGCCAGAUGCAGUACGAGGAGCGUGAGAGGCGGCAUAACCAAUCCGUAUCUUGAAGUCCACUACAUUGAGGUGGCAGCACAAACAAGUCACCAGUAAACCUGCGCUGUCUUGAAAGAAUCGUCA